UUCAGGACAUCAGGAGUGAGAGUACAGCAGGGAGGAAACCACAGCUGGCAGGAUGCUGCAAUCCCCAGCCUCACCUCUGGGAGCCACUGUCGGGUCUGCAGCCAAGCCCUGGGCUUGGAAGGGCAGGAGCCUGCCUUAGGCACACUCCCACUGGCCUGAGCCAACAGGUGGCACAGCUCAGGCUGGACCCAGCCAGCCUCAAGGAGGGAAGAGGGGGCAUCGUGGUGGCACUGGACUCCCUGCAGGGUAUGGGAUGAACUCUGCUCCUCAGAUGGACAGGGGCUGCAAGAAGGAAGAAUGGGCAGCUUGAACUCAGGGAGGGCUCUGCAGAGGCAGAAGAUGAACAGUAAAAUGCAAAGAUCUGGCGACCUUCAGAGCUGGUGUAGUCUGGUUCCCCGCUCCAUCCGCAUGGACCGAGGAGACACUCUGCAGAACCACCCAGAAGCCCCAAAGUGUGACAUCACCAGUUCAACAGCCUUUCCCACUCCCAUCACUUCCUGAAACAGCCAGAGCAAGAAGAUGAUGCAUGUGAGCCCUGCCCUUGGGAAGCCUCCAGGUUGGGAAAUGAGGAAUGAGCCUGACACCCAGGGCCCAGAGAGACCCAGGACAGAGGCAGGCCAGGAGGCAGACACGUGCUGCUGGGUGAUGACGACAGCACCACUAAUCACGACUACUCCUUAUUAAGUACUUACUAAGUGCAAGACUCCAAGCUAAGCAAUUAAUAGACCUUUUCUUGUUUAAUCCUUACCAUAAUUCCAUAGGGUGAGUAUAAUCCUUAAUUUAUAGUUUGGGAAAGGAGGCUCAGAGAGUUCUAGCAAUGUGUGCAGCAUCACACAGCUAGUCAGUGGUAGAGCUGGAAUUUCAGUCCAGAUCUGCCAGCUCCAAAGCCAGUGCCCUUUCUACCCCACUUCAAGCUCUAGGUGGGGAUUUGUUACUUCCCUUACAAAAAGCCUCGUGGGAGCCCCAUUACCAAUAACAUAAGCCCCCCACAGCUGAGACUCCCCUGGAUGACCCCUGCCUGCCUUCUCACCAUUGCUUCCAGCACACCACCAUCACACCUUAGAUUUUAACACUGCCGUUUUUGAAGUUUACCCCUAUAAGUCUUGGCUUCUGCUGUUUACUCAGGCUCAAAUCCAGCCCCACUUUACAGAUGACAAAACAGAGAACUAAGAAUGUUAAGUAACUAGCCCAAGGUCACGCAACUAGAAAGCAAUUGAGCCUGGUUAGGGCUCAGGUCAUUAGAGCAUCAAGUAAUCAAGCAUUAAUUUGUGUUACAGACAAUUAGAGAAUGAGAAUUAGCAGGACAUGUUGCUAAUGGUGCAGAAGAAGUUAGCGGAGAGGAAUCAGGCAGGUUCCAGAGUGAAGGAGGGCCAGGCUAGGCCUUGAGAAAUGGGCAGGCUCUGAAUGUGUGUUCUUGAAAGGGGAGGGCAAGAGAAGAGUACAAAGAUGACAGCAAAGAGAGGGAGAGAGGAAGGGAGAGGGGGUUGUCAAAAUUAGGGAGAGAAUGUGGCAUGGUGAACAGAGCUGUGACUGGGAGUCAGGAGACCCAGCUGUGUCCCGUCAACUUCCUGUGUGAUCUUGGGCAAGGAAGGCCCUUCCCUCUCUGGGGGGUGCCUUGUCUAUCAGUGAAGGAUAGAUGCACCUAGGUGGCCUCUGGGGUCCCACCUGGCCCUGACAUCCCAGGAAUUUUUGUGUUGCCAUUGGACCUUGAAACACAGAAUCUGACCCCAGACCCCUGACAUGUGGUACAGGCUUGGACACCAAGGGCAGACAGGGCCAGCGGCUAACAAGACACCUGAUAGGGAGCACCCAAGGGCUAUCCCCAUCCACACGAAGUCACUCACGCGCCCCUUCUGCCCCUGCAUCCGUGCUACUAAGCAUGUGUGGACUCGCUACAGUGGAUCCAAUCCUGUGGAAGCUAGAAUGCAGCAGGGGCGAAAGAGUCGUAUACUCAAGGAAAGGCAUUUGUCCUCAAGGAAAGGCAAAGGGAAUGGAGGUGCUUAGAGAAGGGGCAAAGAAAACUUCCUGAAAGUAAGGGUGGAGGUUUUCAGAUUGGAAUACAUGGUCUGCCAAAUUGGAGGACAUUUGAGGAAAAAGAAUGGUCCCCAAUCAAGACAGCACUGCACCCAAACAUAAAGUACCUUCCAGACCAUCAGAAAAGGAAACAGUCCUGUCUCAGGGGCCUGUGCUCACAACAACAGAUGCUGCUGGAGACCUCAGAGCCCGUGGAGGCAGAAGAUGCCUCACUAGAGACUGUGGACACACAUAUCUGAGCACACACAGGUGCUCGCACACAAGCCUGAACAGAGACCCCACCGUGGGCCGUCCAUCCUCCCACUUCCCAGUUGAGCCCGGUAAGCAGCUCUCCCUCUCCAGCAAACACACCCCUCACGUGCUGAUGACAUGCAGCCCUGGAAGUCAGAACGUCUUGCUGUCUCACCUUGCUCCCUCUUGCUGUAGUUCUGAUGCGCUUGCUUCUUUUCUGACUCAAGAGAUGCCAAACAGAAACAGGCCCACCCACUUCUGUGUCCUGACUUUCGCCUUCUGGAACAUGAACUCAGCUCUUACCUUUCCUACCUGUUUGACCUCCAGACCCCUGUCUUAUUCACAACAGAAUGCCAAAUGAUGGAUGAUGGGCACUCGGGAGCCCACGUGAUCCUCCAGUGGCCAGCCUCACUGUGCCCUCCAGAUUUAUCCCACAGCUAGAAGCUCAGGGCAAGCACCAGCUCCUCUGCUGACUGGCUGCAAAAGCUCGGGCUGAGUUUCUGUGUUCUACAAGGUUAUGGUGAAGAUCACACGAGAACUGCCUGCAAAGCACUUAGCACAGAGCAGGGCACAGAGUAAGCCCUCGAUGAUGAAUAAUACACUUAUUAUUAUUAUUUGUCCCUAAUUUUAACUCCCUCUGCCCUUAUCCCACCAUCCCACAGGUUGAGUAGGAAGUCCUUUUUGAAGUCUAAUCUCAAGCCUUCAUGCCACGGAUUGGGCCAAUGUUCCACCUUAAUUGGAGUCCGGGGACUGGGGUGGAAAAAGCAGAACUGGCUGAUUGGAGGAGCCACGUCCCUGCAAGGGGCCAGGAGGGAGAUUACAGAGGCGCCAGGCCCAGAGCUCCAACAUGCACCUGCCGCCGCUCCAGGGGAGAUCGGGGUCCUGCCAAUUUACCCCGCCCCAUGAUCUCAUGGCUGUGUGUGCCAGGCACUGGCUCAGGGAGCAGGUACUGACAGCAGGGCCUGGGCAAGAAGCCCAAGACAAGAAGAUGGGAAGGCUGUGGAGAGCCAACAACAGAGCUGUCCCCAUGGGGCUCAGACACGAGUUUCCUCCGGCCUUCACGUGUAACCUUUAGCUAGUGACUCACCGUCUCUGUCCCUCCUUCAAGGCCCUUCCAUGCUCCCCAGUAGCCUCCCUGUGCUGCCCCCUCACACCAAAAGACAAUGGGUGAGGGGAGGGGAGGCUCUCCUCCUCGACAGGGGCCAUUCCCUCCCCUGCAUCUCUUUCUGCUGACCCUGAACAGGACACCCUUGCUUUAAAGCACAGGAAGUUCACUGGGCAGGAGACAGGUGGCCAAAUGCUGUCACUCCUGAGGCUGCCGCAGGCAUGCAACUAAAUGCCAACUGUAAAGGGCCUGUAAUCCCCAAAGAGAUGCCUCUCUCUCUCUCUGUUUCAGGGUGUCUGUAGAGAUCAGACAGACCUUGAGUUAACCCCAAUCCCAAGUUCUCCUGUAUCUUGACCCACAACCUCUCCUUCCUCAGCCAAUUCCUGGAUAUGUCUCUCCCCAAAUUAUCCCCUCCACUCACCCCAAAAUCCACCACUGGGGGUCCAAAGACCCUCCCCUGAGCCUGGCUGGACAGACUGCAGCUUCUGGAACACAGCAUGGCAGGCCUGGCUGGCAGUCCCAGGGGAAGGAGCCGUCUGGUCCUGCUGGACCACCAGGGGCUCCCUCUGCCUCCUGAUUACAGGAAGAGGCCUCCACAUGGCCCAGAGCUCUGCCCUCAGGGUGCUCUCUCUGCUCCCAAUCUCACUGCCUGCUCUCAGACUUUCAGCUCCAGCGCAGCCAGACACAUGUGCCUCCUUGUCCCCACCAAGGAUCUCCCCGAGUAGGUUCCACCCCUUCCAGCUUCCCGGUCCCACCCCUUUCAGCUUCCUGGCCCUGCUUCCUGGCCUACCCUUCCUACAGGGAGUCACCUGGGCUCUGCCUGUCUCUCCCUCCACAGUCACCACCCCAGCCCUAGAGUCCAGGUGCCCCUGCUGCUCCCACCUCAGACCUUGGCCUGGGAGACACCAGCCUUCCCCACCCUCAGGGAAUUCCUCAAAAAUCAAAAACCUCAUAACAUGGGUCCAUCCACCAUACACACACACACACACACACACACACACACACACAAACACACACAUAUACAUGCUCUGUCCUCCCCUCCUAACCCCUGGCCCCCACCUCCCUCUCUGUAAGGAAACUGGGGAGACUGAAAUCCCCUCCAGCCCAGGACCUCUAUGAAUCUGAGGUUUCUCUCCACAGCCUCAGGUCGGGGCUCCCGCCCUGGAUGCAACCAAGUCUGGAGGCUGGCUGACCACAGGGCACACACCCUCCUGACUGGCCUCUGGCUCCUGAGGAGGGGGGCAGCUGGCCUUGGUAGCAUUCCCCACUCCACUUUCCAGAAUCUCCCUCAGCCCCACCUUGGUAGAAGUCACACUCCCCUCUUUUCUCUCCCCAGCAUCUCACAGAGAAGACACUUGGAUGGGCCACAGGCCAAAAUUGGGCCAAAACCCUGGAGAGGUGGACCUGGCUCAAGGCCAUAUCACAUUUCCAUGUCAUUUUCCAGUGGCACCAACUGAGCUGGACAGGCAUGUGGCUGGACAACCCCCACCCAGGAGGCAGGGCAAAUUCCCAGAGUACCAGGUCACUGAGCCAUCUCUGGGGUAGGGCUCCCAAGGACUGGCUGGUUCUGGAAUGAUGCCGCUGGGAUGCCAGAUGCCAGCUGCUCCCCCUGCCUGCCCCAGCCUCAAAUAAAGCCUUGUCCCUCCCAGACCAUCACACAUUCCCUGCUCUUGGAAGCCUUACCUGGUCAACCCCACCCAACUUUUACCACUUACUACACCACUUACUUCGCGUACCCUCAGCACUUCGAUCCCAAGUUACCCUGUGCUCAUUUGCCCUUGUUUACGUGUUACUUUGCAGAUAUUCUCACAGAGCUACACAUGCCAUGAUCAUCACUAGUUGCGAGAGUCUCCAGUGUUCAUUAAGCCUAUUUUGCUGGAGGAUUAGUCCCUGUCCUUAAAGAGUGCCAAAGAAGACUUUGGGAUCUAAGUCACAUCUCCCCUGCUGCAAUUUUUUUCCUUUUGAUAAUCAAGCAAUCUCACUGAUAAAAUUCUCAACAAAGGGCAGCUCUCCCCAUGAGCAAGUUCUUGCCUUGACUGCCAGGGAGGCCCCAGCUAAGGUUAUACUGGGAAAGGAAUCUCUGCGAGUACCUGUAAGAGGUCAGCUUCUCCUCAAAGGAAGCCUCUCCAGCUGGUGUACUGCACACCCUUCCAAGACCAAGUUCCCUUCUCCUGGCCUCUAGAACCUGCCUGUGUGCCAGUGCUGUGUCCCCAGUAACACACACGAGUCUCUCCCUCAGAAGCCACAGAAAGAUGCAGAGAGGGACCAACCUGGGAUUGAUUCUCCGCCCUAGCACUUACUAAUUGUGUGGACAUAACUGGUCUGGACCUCAGCUUUGCUAUCUAUAAAAUGAGAACCAUUUUAUAGAUAUGAACACUU